rnacentral:rRNA from 1 species
CGAACGAACUCUGGUAUUGAUUGGUGCUUGCAUCAUGAUUUACAUUUGAGUGAGUGGCGAACUGGUGAGUAACACGUGGGAAACCUGCCCAGAAGCGGGGGAUAACACCUGGAAACAGAUGCUAAUACCGCAUAACAACUUGGACCGCAUGGUCCGAGUUUGAAAGAUGGCUUCGGCUAUCACUUUUGGAUGGUCCCGCGGCGUAUUAGCUAGAUGGUGGGGUAACGGCUCACCAUGGCAAUGAUACGUAGCCGACCUGAGAGGGUAAUCGGCCACAUUGGGACUGAGACACGGCCCAAACUCCUACGGGAGGCAGCAGUAGGGAAUCUUCCACAAUGGACGAAAGUCUGAUGGAGCAACGCCGCGUGAGUGAAGAAGGGUUUCGGCUCGUAAAACUCUGUUGUUAAAGAAGAACAUAUCUGAGAGUAACUGUUCAGGUAUUGACGGUAUUUAACCAGAAAGCCACGGCUAACUACGUGCCAGCAGCCGCGGUAAUACGUAGGUGGCAAGCGUUGUCCGGAUUUAUUGGGCGUAAAGCGAGCGCAGGCGGUUUUUUAAGUCUGAUGUGAAAGCCUUCGGCUCAACCGAAGAAGUGCAUCGGAAACUGGGAAACUUGAGUGCAGAAGAGGACAGUGGAACUCCAUGUGUAGCGGUGAAAUGCGUAGAUAUAUGGAAGAACACCAGUGGCGAAGGCGGCUGUCUGGUCUGUAACUGACGCUGAGGCUCGAAAGUAUGGGUAGCAAACAGGAUUAGAUACCCUGGUAGUCCAUACCGUAAACGAUGAAUGCUAAGUGUUGGAGGGUUUCCGCCCUUCAGUGCUGCAGCUAACGCAUUAAGCAUUCCGCCUGGGGAGUACGGCCGCAAGGCUGAAACUCAAAGGAAUUGACGGGGGCCCGCACAAGCGGUGGAGCAUGUGGUUUAAUUCGAAGCUACGCGAAGAACCUUACCAGGUCUUGACAUACUAUGCAAAUCUAAGAGAUUAGACGUUCCCUUCGGGGACAUGGAUACAGGUGGUGCAUGGUUGUCGUCAGCUCGUGUCGUGAGAUGUUGGGUUAAGUCCCGCAACGAGCGCAACCCUUAUUAUCAGUUGCCAGCAUUAAGUUGGGCACUCUGGUGAGACUGCCGGUGACAAACCGGAGGAAGGUGGGGAUGACGUCAAAUCAUCAUGCCCCUUAUGACCUGGGCUACACACGUGCUACAAUGGAUGGUACAACGAGUUGCGAACUCGCGAGAGUAAGCUAAUCUCUUAAAGCCAUUCUCAGUUCGGAUUGUAGGCUGCAACUCGCCUACAUGAAGUCGGAAUCGCUAGUAAUCGCGGAUCAGCAUGCCGCGGUGAAUACGUUCCCGGGCCUUGUACACACCGCCCGUCACACCAUGAGAGUUUGUAACACCCAAAGUCGGUGGGGUAACCUUUUAGGAACCAGCC